rnacentral:tRNA from 1 species
GGAUGGAUGCUCAGUGGUAGAGUGCAUGCUUUGUAUGUUCGAUGUCCUGGGUUCAAUUCCCAGCUUCUCCC